rnacentral:ribozyme from 12 species
GGAAGAGGUAGAAGAAAGCGGCGAUAUUUGCGUCGAUGUCUUUUUUGCCAAGGGCGGGGAUCUUAAUUUUCUCCCCCCCUCUGGUUUACUUUUUUCCUCUUUUUCUUUUCUUUCUUUUUCUCCUAGU